UGUUUGUGCGCGCAUGUAUAUGUGUGCAUGUUUGGAUGGAUAUAUAUAUGUAUAUAUAUAUAUCCAUCCAAAAUAUCCAUCCAAACAUGCACACAUAUACAUGCGCAUACAGACA
rnacentral:pre_miRNA from 1 species